GAUGAACGCUGGCGGCGUGUCUAAUACAUGCAAGUCGAGCGAACAGACGAGGAGCUUGCUCCUCUGACGUUAGCGGCGGACGGGUGAGUAACACGUGGAUAACCUACCUAUAAGACUGGGAUAACUUCGGGAAACCGGAGCUAAUACCGGAUAAUAUAUUGAACCGCAUGGUUCAAUAGUGAAAGACGGUUUUGCUGUCACUUAUAGAUGGAUCCGCGCCGCAUUAGCUAGUUGGUAAGGUAACGGCUUACCAAGGCAACGAUGCGUAGCCGACCUGAGAGGGUGAUCGGCCACACUGGAACUGAGACACGGUCCAGACUCCUACGGGAGGCAGCAGUAGGGAAUCGUCCGCAAUGGGCGAAAGCCUGACGGAGCAACGCCGCGUGAGUGAUGAAGGUCUUCGGAUCGUAAAACUCUGUUAUUAGGGAAGAACAAAUGUGUAAGUAACUAUGCACGUCUUGACGGUACCUAAUCAGAAAGCCACGGCUAACUACGUG
rnacentral:rRNA from 1 species